UGGGGAAUUUUGGACAAUGGGCGAAAGCCUGAUCCAGCAAUGCCGCGUGUGUGAAGAAGGCCUUCGGGUUGUAAAGCACUUUUGUCCGGAAAGAAAUCCUUGGCUCUAAUACAGUCGGGGGAUGACGGUACCGGAAGAAUAAGCACCGGCUAACUACGUGCCAGCAGCCGCGGUAAUACGUAGGGUGCAAGCGUUAAUCGGAAUUACUGGGCGUAAAGCGUGCGCAGGCGGUUUGCUAAGACCGAUGUGAAAUCCCCGGGCUCAACCUGGGAACUGCAUUGGUGACUGGCAGGCUAGAGUAUGGCAGAGGGGGGUAGAAUUCCACGUGUAGCAGUGAAAUGCGUAGAGAUGUGGAGGAAUACCGAUGGCGAAGGCGAGCCCCCUGGGCCAAUACUGACGCUCAUGCACGAAAGGCGUGGGGAGCAAACNGGAUUAGAUACCCCUGGUAGUCCACGCCCCUAAACGAUGUCAACUAGUUGUUGGGGG
rnacentral:rRNA from 1 species